AUCAAUUUCCUCUUCCCCUUUCUUCCCUUUCUUUCUCUCUUAGUUUCAUCAAGAUUCAUAGGAGGAAGUUCUCUCAGUUGAGGGGAAUGUUGUCUGGCUCGAGGUCACCAACUAGAUCCAUAAACUCCAUAUUAUGCUUUUUUGAAUAUAAAGAUUAGUUUUUCUUUUCUUUUCACUAGGAAAAUUUAAAGAUUAGUUGAUUAUAUUAAAAAGGGUUUAUGGAUCAUGAGUUAGUGUUGUCGGACCAGGCUUCAUUCCCCCCAAUUGCUACUUCCUCUCUGGACUAAAAUCAAAUCUUUGACAUGAGACGAGUUUUGGCUUAUGAAAAUGGUAAGUUUUAUUUGUAAAAAAAAAAAAGGCAGCCCAUGCACUAACCUUCCGCUAUGAGCGGGAUUUGUGGAAGAGCCGGAUCACAAGAGUCUAUCGUAUGGAGCCUUACUCAGUAUUUCUGCAAGAGGUUGUUUUUACUGCUCGAACAUGUGAACUCCUGUUCGGCAAACAACUUUACUAGUUUUAUUUGUAAGAUCUUGAUAUACAUGAGACGAGUUUCAGCUUUUGUAGUUAGUUUUGGACAAGAGCAGAUUGGUGUAAUGAUGAAGAAUUUUGACUCAUUCCACUUUCCUGCCACGACUCGGAGAUAUGCAGACUUUUACCUUAUAUUUUGUACAAGAUCUUGUGACAUCAUCAUAUACACAGGGUUAUGCUAAUAAAGUUUCUUCACAUGAACAAGAAGCUACAUUGCUCGUUUCUGUUUUACUUUUUGGGUUAAAACUUAUACAAGUGUGAAAGAAUAUAUUCAUUCUAAGCUUUUGUAAAGCUGGCGUAAGAUUUUUUAUUUCUUGAAGAAUGAUCAGAGAAUAAUCUUUCAAAUGUCUAUACUCUUUAUCAUGGAGUAAGUUGUGAAUGAGAAAGCAAACUAUGUUGGGCAACUCUUCAAAACAGUGGUCGCACCCGUUUUGGAUCCUAUAGCUAUGCAUCAUGCACCAAAUGACAUUUUCGUAGAAUCCAAGCAAUAUCGUUGUUUUCUCUCAUUGUGAUUUACCUUAUAACCUUGUUGUUUUUAUUCUGCUUUUAUAUGACUUUUUGGUAAUGUUCA